CUCCCUGCCAAGCUGUGCAGGGGGUCACUUAUGCAAUAAUCAAAGUCAACCAACCCCACAACUUCUCACUAAAUUAAGUCAGACAGGUGAUUACUAACACAUGCUCUGUAUUUAAAUAUCACCCAAUGUUCUAUGCAUGGCUCCACAACAAAGAACCAUUCUUGGAGACCUUGCAAAACUCUGUUCCAGCAGAAUUGUCUAUAAAAAACAUCCUCUGAAGGUUAUCUCUCCUCAUUUACUUCCACUGUAAAACUGGAGAUGCUUUUUCUUACUCUGGAAAAAACUUCCAGGUCAUCAUUCCCACUGAGGAAGCGGUCAAUGGGGUCAUUACCCCUCCUGCUGAGUGUGACCUUGUACCAGAUAAGCCCUGAGAAUUCACCAGGUGUGCUGGCUUUCAGAAUUUUGCAAAGUUUUUCUGGAACACCUGUUUCCUCUUUGCUGUGCUUUCCACUCACUGCUUAUUUCCAUGCUAUGUCUGUCGGUCUUACUACUGUGGAUCCUGGAGAUCUACAACAAAGCUUCAUGAAAUUGUACUUCAAUUUCUGUUAACCUAACCUUAACCUGUUAACUUUCAUUCUGUUAACCUAAUCUUAACAUGCAAGACCUCAGUCUUGUAAAAUAAAUGUCCAAUAUUUCCAGUUCCAUGCACCUGAAAUUCUGCAUGAGGAAGUUCAUGACAUUGAUGAUUCUAGCAGAGUAGAUGAGAUUUCACAACCCAUGGACCCAGAGGUAUUACGUGCAACUCUCUUUAUUUCCCCAUAACUGGAUUCCCUGUCUAGCUUCCUCUCCUACCCGAUGGCAGAAAAGUUACUUCCAGGACAAUUCAGACAUGUCUGAGUUUUCAGACUUUUUCAAGUUCACAAUUCAAUUAAUUCAGCUUUGAGAUCUCCCUGCUUUCCCUAGGUGGGUGCAUACAAAGGGGGCUCAGCCGUGGGAGAGGACUCUUGCCCUUUGAACCUCUCUCUGUCUUAUGCUAGCUGAUGCUGAUAUGAGACCUGCUCCAUCCAGGCCACUAUGAUCAUUCCUUCCUUUGACAGCCUUGGCCAUCGUAAUCUGGGGUAUUGACAGACCGUGCUAGUUUUUUUCCUUAACCCCCAGGUCCCUUCGGGUCUCGGGCAACCCCUCUCCGGGGCACUGGCGCUAUGGGAUGCUCCCCAGGGGACGUUCCCAGCCUGGUCUUUCCAGUUUGGACAUUUUCCCCUUUACUGGCUCACCCUCCCCCAAGCUGGUGUCGUGUGGAAGGAAAUCAGGUCCGUGCACGCUUCCCAGGUCCUGCCAGGAAGGGGCCCAGGCUUCCUAAAGUUUUCCAGGAAAAGUCCUCCUCCCCCGCUACCCCCCAGCUCCGCCCUUCUGCGGGAGGGGGCAGCGUGGCUGGCUUUAAGCUUUAACUCUUCCGUCACAGCAGUGCUCCUUCUGUGUCUCACGCCAUCCGGAUCUCCGAUCUCCCGGGGAGGAGGCGGUGGUGGGAGGGACACAACCUCUGCCUCAUCAUAUCUUUUUCAAAAUUUGUAUUUUCUUCGUAAGCACUGACCAAAUGGGCAUGCUUUGUUCUGAGUUCUUCUCCUGGAGGGUCCGUGACAAAUCUGAAUACGUCCAAGGAAACAGUUGGGUCAACGAAGGAUGCUUAUCUUGGAGAAGGAAAAACCUCUCAGCAUGGUGGAGAAAGAGGUAACAUGAAGAAGUCUCAGGAAAAGAGAUUGGAACAGAAGUGGAUUUGCUAUGGCUUUCAUGGAAUAGAAGCUUCUGGGCCCCCCACCUGUGCUAUUUUCUUUGAAGACUUCCACCUAAUAUCAUGUUCAUCAUUGUUAUUCUUUUUUUUCUGAAGGAGAGCCCUCCCCCCCACCCCAAGUUGAAUAAGAUCAGCUCCACUAAUUCUGGAUCCACCCCUGAGCUAGAAUUAAUCUACAUAAUUCCUUGGGACAAAACUAGGAUUAAUAGUAGAAAGUUACAGUGAGGCAAACAUUGCUCAAGAUCUGGAAAUUCUCCCAGUUAGAGCUAUUAAAAAUUGGGAUGGGCUGCAGAAAACCAGAAAGUGCGUCAUUGGAUGCCUUGGGUAGGAGCGAAUGAGGCAGGGGUGUUGUAAGAGGGGCUGAUGAUCUCUCCCAACUCUAGGAAUCAAAGUCUCUGAGAUAAGCUACAGAGAGGGCACUGAGAAAGCAUUUGCUUGCCUAUGUAUUAAUAGUAGGGACCCCAAGUCCAAUAGCAGGGACCCCCAAGUCCAGGCACGUAUAGUUUGCUAGGUUUAAGUCACCGUAUUAAAAAAAAAAAGUAAUAAAAAUAUUCAGAAGCAUUCAGUAUUCCACGAUGAACUUUCUCAAACAUAUUCAAACCAGUAGGAAGUCACUGAAUCGAGUUGGCAAUAGACUCCUAAUCUAUUACUCCUAAUCUCCUGCUCCUCCAGCCAUGCUCCUAGAUGCUGGAUUCCUUGCUCAAAAUCAGCUAGAGGUGUGGUUGUAUUCCUUCGGUAAGGUCUCCAGCGCAGAGAGAAGUGGCCAGCAUCCCACCAUCACAGUAAUGUUUGUUGCUGUUGAACCAUCAAGCGCAGUGGCCACUGGUCCUUUCAGGCACAUCAGUAGACACUUCCUCACGACGAACCACUGGCGAUCAUUUCACUACUAGUGAUGCCGUCAUAUGCUGCAGAUUACUGGCGUCCCAUUUUCAUCAGGAAGAACUUCAGCACUGCAUUCAAGGCCAAACACAUCCGUAUCGAUCCCAUAUUCUGACCUUUAAAAGUUUGUUUUCUUGGACCACUCACACCCGAUAUGACAUGGAUCAUGGUUCUUGGGACAGCAGAGACAACCCUAGGCAUUUCACUAGAGAGAAUUCAAUGUAGGAAAUUGGCUGUGCAGGUAAGAAGGCAAACACAGAAAAGUGUUUAGUGAGCAGAGAUAGUGGGGGCUGGCUCAGGAAACAAGGCAGAGGCCGGAUCACCAGAACCUGCCAGCUGGGAGGGGUGGCCUGAGGCGGGGAGCUGGGCCUCCAUGGAGAGCUGUUGCACAGGCAGGGCAGAGGUGUGGAAGAGGGGCCUUGAGGCCAGACUGCUGCCUGGUGGUGCUGUCACCUCUGCAAGACACGGGCAGACUGGUUUGGGGGUCUGGAAAAGAGCUGGGAGUCUGCCAGUGUGAUGGUAACAAGAACAGCAGGCCAGCAGGUGGCCAUUCCCUCCUCAAGCCUUCCAGUGUCCUCUCAGUGCUCCCACUGGUGGGUCCUAAUGGGGAGCCAGCUGGCAAAGGGAAGUAUAUUUGCAGAGCCUUUACCUUGGGCUCAAACUGCAGAGCAGAGCAGGGCAGUGCUGAGCUGCGAGGCAAUGACUUAAUAACUAGCACAGCCUCACCUGCCCGCAGGACACCCAGACCCCUCACCACCUGGUCUGCUGAUCACACUUGCCUUCCCCUCGUCUCCUUCCCUCCCCGAUGAGGGGGUGUGGUCCCUCCCUGCCAUCUCCCGGGGAGAACUGAUGAUGCCCACCUCGGGUUCCGUUGUACCUGCCUAGGUAAUUAAGAAAGCACUGGGAACACAUCAACAUGUCUGUUUCUCCCUGUUAAAAUCCUGAAGCCCCUUGAUGGAAAAGGGUGAGUUUUCAUCAUCGUGCCUCCAAAGCUAUGGUUGGCACAUAGCACAUACUUUAAAAACAUUUGUUGAGGGAGCGCCUGGGUAGCUCAGUCCGUUGAGCAGCUGACCUCUGACUUCGGUUCAGGUCAUGAUCUCAUCGGGCUAGCUGUUAUCUGCACAGAACCCACUUCGGAUCUUCUGUCCCUCCCUGGCCCCCUGCCCCUUCCAUGCUUAUGCUCUCUCUCAAAAAUAAAUAAAUCUUUAACAAACAAACAAAA